rnacentral:miRNA from 1 species
ACCUUAUAGACCAACCAAGUUUGUUCUGGUAUAAGCUUUCGUGUGCAUCUGAAGAAGUGUGCAUGCACACAAAAGCUGAUACCAGAACAAACUGAGUUGGUCUAUAAGGU